GCCCUGGAAGGAGACAUGAGAUUUAAAUCCAGACAGUUUGACCCCAAUGCCUGAGUUUCAAAUUAAUUACAGUUUCUCUUUCAUACCUUGCUGUUUGCUUUAACUAUUACCAUUAUCAAAUGUAAUUGUAAAAAACAACUUAUAAUUAUUUGCUACCUUUUCCAGCAUGAGAUCAUUAUGCUUGAUUCCACAGUCACUAUCCUACAUCUGGUCAAAAGUCAUAUCCAUCACUUCGUUAUGGAAAUCAGUGAGAAUACAAGGAACAGAAUCUAGAGUAGAAGUCAAUUCUCUGUAUCUUCACUCGAGUCACAAGCUGUGGUGACUAACAGGGGCUACUCCACAGCUAGCAGAUGGAGAGCCAGAAAAGAAAUGGGAGCCGUUCCAGAAAACUCUCCGAGGUGAAGGGCAAGCACAGUCAGAAGUUCUUAUGGUUUCACCUCCCGCUUCCAACCGUGGAGGACCCAAGUCUUUGCCACGCCCGAGAAAGCCCGUCUUAGCAUCAUCCGGAAGCACAAGGUCUAGAGGGGCAGAGAACCGAACACCAAUAAAGCUUCUGGUGCUUCCUCCUUUA